GAUGAACGCUGGCGGCGUGCCUAACACAUGCCAGUCGAACGAAGCGCCUUACCGGAUUCUUCGGAUGAAGGUCUGGUGACUGAGUGGCGGACGGGUGAGUAACGCGUGGGUAACCUGCCCUGUACAGGGGGAUAACAGCUGGAAACGGCUGCUAAUACCGCAUAAGCGCACGAGGAGACAUCUCCUUGUGUGAAAAACUCCGGUGGUACAGGAUGGGCCCGCGUCUGAUUAGCUGGUUGGCAGGGUAACGGCCUACCAAGGCAACGAUCAGUAGCCGGUCUGAGAGGAUGAACGGCCACAUUGGAACUGAGACACGGUCCAAACUCCUACGGGAGGCAGCAGUGGGGAAUAUUGCACAAUGGGGGAAACCCUGAUGCAGCAACGCCGCGUGAGUGAAGAAGUAUUUCGGUAUGUAAAGCUCUAUCAGCAGGGAAGAUAAUGACGGUACCUGACGAAGAAGCUCCGGCUAAAUACGUG
rnacentral:rRNA from 1 species